UCUUAGUGAUAAGACGUGCGAUAGAGCUGCAGGAGCUCGUAACGUGAGGGUCAGGUUCUGAGCGGCUGGUAGCUUUUGCCGCUCCAGUCUGGAAAUCUGGUCCCCGCCUGGUAACAGCGUGUGCCGUUCAGAUGACAGCAGCAUUCUCAUUGGGACCUUUUCCCUUGGAAGUUGAAGACUGGGACUGCGCCAAGAAUGAAGAAUCACAGUGCCGGGCCGCUAGUGUCUGUGCAGACCUCCCGGGAAUGUCACUUCGCUGCAGGGAUGGGGCAGACUUCCCAACAGCUUUAAAGAAAGAGCUUUACAAAACCUCUCCAGAUUUUUCUUUUCCUUCUAAAAUGUUGGCUGUGUUGAUUUUAAGGAACAGAAGUGGAGUCGGACAGUAUUAAAGCAAAAGUUUCUAGUGUGUGGUGCCCAGGAGUGGACUUCACCUAGAACUGUCACACUCAGAGCCAUCACCAGGGACCUGCUGCUGCUUCUCUAUAGUGAUUUUAAGGAGCGCUUUGCUUGUUUGAAAGGCUGUGAAACGAGCGGAGUGCCUAUUUUUUCAUGGUAAGAAUGAUGCUACUGCAGAUACUUUCUGCUGAUAAGAACCAUCACAAAGGUAACGAAUGAUCAAAGGUGAAUGUUAGCAGAGCCGCACGUGGAAGCCUGCUGUUUAUUCUUUUCUUUUGAGGCCCUGCAGCCCUCUUCUACAACUCUGGCAGAAGAGGACUUUGAUUUUCUUGCAAAUAAAUGUGCCCAGCUCCUUGGCUCCUGGUCCUUUAGCCACACAACCUCUAACUUCGCUUUGUGAGAUGACCUUGUUCCGUCACCCCUAAAGGCUUUGCCCCCAGUUUUCGCCCUGCCCCUUCAUUCGGACCUCGUCGCCUUCUCCAUGGCUCCCAGGAAACAUGCCCUUCUCUCUCAUGUUUCUUAUCACCCUGUCAUUCACCAGGCUUGCCGCUCCCUGGACCAUGGGAUCAUAUUUUCCUGAGCCAAACAUUCCUUAUAUAUAAGAAUUAAAAGAAACUUAAGGGAUUUUUCUAUCAAAUGCAACGUGUGGGCCUUAUUUGCUUAGAUCUUAAUUUAAACAAAGUAUAAAAAGGCAUUUUUUUGGGGGGGGAAGUGGAUGUGGCUCAGGCAACUGAGCUCCCACCUUCCACACAGGAGGUCCAGGUUUGGUUUCUGGUGCCUCCUAGAGAAAACAAGCAAGAUGGUGAGCUGGCACAGUGGGUGGGCAUGGCGAGCAGAUGCAACAUGAUGACGCAGCGAGAUGAAGCAAGCAAGAGACACGGCAAGGAAACACAAUGAGAGGCACA
rnacentral:lncRNA from 1 species